GGGUAACGGUCGCAAGAUUAAAACUCAAAGGAAUUGACGGGGACCCGCACAAGCGGUGGAUGAUGUGGAUAAUUCGAUGCAACGCGAAAACCUUACCUACCCUUGACCAUGUCUGGAAGAUCUAAGAGAUUAGAUUGUGCUCGCAAGAGAACCGGAACACAGGUGCUGCAUGGCUGUCGUCAGCUCGUGUCGUGAGAUGUUGGGUUAAGUCCCGCAACGAGCGCAACCCUUCCAUUAGUUGCUACAUUCAGUUGGGCACUCUAAUGGGACUGCCGGUGACAAACCGGAGGAAGGUGGGGAUGACGUCAAGUCCUCAUGGCCCUUAUGGGUAGGGCUUCACACGUCAUACAAUGGUCGGGACAGAGGGUUGCCAAGCCGCGAGGUGGAGCCAAUCUCAGAAACCCGAUCGUAGUCCGGAUCGCAGUCUGCAACUCGACUGCGUGAAGUCGGAAUCGCUAGUAAUCGCGGAUCAGCAUGUCGCGGUGAAUACGUUCCCGGGUCUUGUACACACCGUCGACGCGGC
rnacentral:rRNA from 1 species